CCAAGUAGCAACCGAAGCUUUUUUCUCCCAGUUUCAACCCCCUCAUGUCCACAAACUGCCUUCGCUUACUAUUCCUAUCCCGUUUCUACAUUCUACAACGUUUGUUGCGUUCUCGCUCAUCAGGGUGUUUGUCAAUUCUCUCUUGCCACACGAAGAGAAUUCUCCUGCACACUUCGUGUGUUGGAUUCUACCCAUCCCUGUUGAACACACGUCAUUUUCUUCCAUCGCACUCAUCAGGGUGUUUGCUCUUUUCCAUCCAAGCCAAAGAGCGACUUCACUGUGCUCUGAACCGUGGAUGUGAGAGUGUGUGUUUGUGUGCUGCGUGAACUAUUUUUCCUGCGUGAAACACUUUCCAUACUGCGCCAUCCGCGGUGUUCUUUCUGCUUCAUCGGACGACGAAUUUUUAUCAUCUAAUUGUUUGGUUUCAGAUGUGUGCUGCUACCGCUAGCUGUUCCUCAAACUACUUAAAAAGUGUGACACUGUGUGCACAGGCGUUCAAGUUUCAAUUGAUCCUCAAGCACAAAGCCUUCAUACAACACCGCGGUUGAGGCGCGCCAAAUCUGAUGACAUCUUUCCUGAACCAAGCAGGCUGAACACGCGCACCACCAUGGGCUCCAGCGCGGUGUGAAGAGGGAAGAAGAAAAGGCAGAAUUGGAAACAGCCGCACCAGGCUUCCAACCACCGUGUGUGUGUAUGUAAGUAUGUGAGAACACAUGUGUGAAUCCUCUUGUGGGAACUGCAAAAAGAAGAGAAUAAAGAGUGUGAAGCAGCUAGACUGCCGCAACCAAAUCAAGAGAGUGAAUUCUCAUUUCAAUCCGAAAAACUGGGAGAGAGUGAUGACAUGCGAGAGAGAAUAAAACUAGAAACACGAGAGAGGACACGAAGCGCUUUCGGGUUUUUUUCGCCUUCGCGCACUUUUUGCUUUAUGCGCGCGAAAAAGUGAGCCUUGAU